rnacentral:rRNA from 1 species
UAGGGAAUCUUCCGCAAUGGACGAAAGUCUGACGGAGCGACGCCGCGUGAGCGAAGAAGGUCUUCGGAUCGUAAAGCUCUGUUGUUAGGGAAGAAGAAGUGCCGUUCGAACAGGGCGGCGCGGUGACGGUACCUAACGAGAAAGCCCCGGCUAACUACGUGCCAGCAGCCGCGGUAAUACGUAGGUGGCAAGCGUUGUCCGGAAUUAUUGGGCGUAAAGCGCGCGCAGGCGGUUCCUUAAGUCUGAUGUGAAAUCUCGCGGCUCAACCGCGAGCGGCCAUUGGAAACUGGGGAACUUGAGUGCAGGAGAGGGGAGCGGAAUUCCACGUGUAGCGGUGAAAUGCGUAGAGAUGUGGAGGAACACCAGUGGCGAAGGCGGCGCUCUGGCCUGUAACUGACGCUGAGGCGCGAAAGCGUGGGGAGCGAACAGG